AGGCGGGUAGCUCAGGGGGAGAGCGCCCGGUUUACUUCCGGGAGGUCGCGCGGUUCAAAUCCCGCCCCGCCUACCA
rnacentral:tRNA from 1 species